rnacentral:rRNA from 1 species
GAUGAACGCUGGCGGCGUGCCUAAUACAUGCAAGUCGAGCGAACAGACGAUGAGCUUGCUCCUCUCUCGUUAGCGGCGGACGGGUGAGUAACGCGUGUAUAACCUACCUAUAAUACUGGUAUAACUUCGGGAAACCGGAUCUAAUACCGUAGAAUAUAUUGAACCGCAUGGGUGAAUAGUGAAAGACGGUUGUUCUGGCACGUAUAGAUGGAUCCGCGCCGCAUUGGCGAGUUGGGAAGUUAACGGCUUAUCAAGGCGACGAUGCGUAGGCGAACGGAGAGGGUGAGCGGCCACACUGGAACUGAGACACGCUACAGACUCAUAGGGGAGGCAGCAGUAGGGAAUCUUACGCAAUGGGCGAGAGCCUGACGGAGCAACGCGGAGUGAGUGAUGACGGUCCUCGGAUCGUAAAACUCUCUUACUAGGGAAGAACCACUGUGUAAGUAAAUAUGCACGUAGUGACGGUACCUAAUAAGAAAGCCACGGCUAACUACGUG